AAUGUUAGUGGCAGACGGGUGAGUAUGCGUAGGAUCUACCUAGUAGUACGGAAUAGCCAUUAGAAAUGGUGGGUAAUACUGUAUAAUCCCCGAGGGGGAAAGAUUUAUCGCUAUUAGAUGAGCCUACGUUAGAUUAGCUAGUUGGUGAGGUAAUGGCUUACCAAGGCUAUGAUCUAUAGCUGGUCUGAGAGGACGAUCAGCCACACUGGAACUGAGAUACGGUCCAGACUCCUACGGGAGGCAGCAGUGGGGAAUAUUGGACAAUGGGCGAAAGCCUGAUCCAGCUAUGCCGCGUGAGUGAAGAAGGCCUUCGGGUUGUAAAACUCUUUCAAUAGGGAAGAUAAUGAGGUUUACCUAUAAA
rnacentral:rRNA from 1 species